rnacentral:rRNA from 1 species
UACGUAGGCAGCAAGCGUUGUUCGGAGUUACUGGGCGUAAAGGGUGCGUAGGCUGCUUUUUAAGUUUGGUGUGAAAUCUCCCGGCUCAACCGGGAGGGUGCGCCGAAUACUGAGGGACUCGAGUGCGGGAGAGGAAAGUGGAAUUCCUGGUGUAGCGGUGAAAUGCGUAGAUAUCAGGAGGAACACCGGUGGUGUAGACGGCUUUCUGGACCGUAACUGACGCUGAGACACGAAAGCGUGGGUAGCAAACAGG